GUGCUCAUUUCGGCAGCACAUAUACUAAAGUUGGAAAGAUACGGAGAAGGUGAGCUUGGCGCAUUGCGCACAGAUGACAUGCAAAUUCGUGAAACGUUCCGAAACCAU